GACAGAGCAACCAUGGCUGACUCCUCAUAUAAGCAGCUGGAAGCUGAACUGAAUGACAGCAGUCACUUUCUUUAGAGGAAGAGGCAGAUAGCACAUUUGUUGAAAUACUUAGGUAUCCAGUAGAAUUCCAGGGGAGUUUAGACAGUGAAGUAAUGCUGAGAGAGACAGAGCUAUUCUCCAUUGGCCACUCACCAAAUUGACCAGUCCUUCUGCCAGGCCUGGUUAGGUCAUUAUAUUUCCUGUGCAGGAGCACUGGGUCACCACGUCCCUGCUGGCCUUGGUGGGGUCAGCAGCGGGGUCACGGGUGGGGGCUGUCCCAGGGUAGGUGAGAACCUAGGGAGGGUAGCGGGCAGGCUGGGCUGAGCUUUCUUCCUUCCAGCCCUCUUCCAUCAUACAGGACACUGUGGUGCUUUGCUGUGCCACUCAGGCUUUUUCAUUCAGAGUCAGAGCUCGGGAGCCAUUUGUCGCUCUGCUUCCAGAGGCAACUAUUUUCAGAAAUCAACCACUGCCUGCCCCGGGGCCAGUGUCAGGGGUCAGCAGAAGCUUGUUCUGGCCAACAGCCCUCUCCUCCAUCACAGUCAUCCCCACAUUCAGCGGGGAGGUGCUAGAAUUAUCUGUUCCUGUUUCCUUCAGAGUCUGCACAGAAUGCUUUGGAUUCCCGAGAUCUGGCUUCCUCUGUGUGUUGUCACUGACUCCAGCCCAGCUGCUCACAGCACGGCCUGGGAGACGUUUCCCUUUGCAUUCAACGACACAGCUCAUUUUCAGCCGAGCUAUGGAAAGGCGUGGACGUCCUCCCUGCCGAUCCCGGCCAUCCUCCAUGAAUCACCAUCAUCCUCACAAUUCAGUCUAAAAGGCGAAUACUUUCAGACCUCGCCAACGAUCGCUCUGUUUCUGCUAACUGUCUGGUUUAGAUCAUGUAUUGCUUGGGAAUAUACGGAUUUCUCCUCAUUUACCAGUGAUAAAACUUAAAUAUGAAAAAUCAAAAUUUAGUAUUCCAAGAAAAUAAUCAUGGAUAUAAGCAAAGACUGCCAACUUGUUCAUCGUGACACUGUCUUCUGCAAUAGCAAUGAUAGUAAUAAAAAUUAGAAAAGCACUAAAUAUCCAUCUAUAGAGGAUUAAGAUGUAUUCUUGCAAUAUGAGAUUAAAAGGCAUACAAAUGGUGCUGUAGAGCAAUAUUUGAUGAUGUAGAGAGUUGUUUGUGACAGAUUAUUGGGGAGAAAAAGUUAAAACCAAUAUGUAUAAGACAGUCCCAUUUUUGUAGAUGAACCAAAACUAUACAUCUAUAGUCACAGAAAGAAAAAAGAUACCGCACUGUGAAUAAGAAAUAACAAAUGUUAACAUGAUCGGCUCUGAUUGCAGGAGACGCAUUAGAUUUCAUUUUCUUAUUUCCUGGUCUACAUUUUCUACAUUUGUAUAUAAGUUUUGCAAUAAGAAACAAAUGACAGCUUUAAAAUUUUUUUAACUAAAAUUUUUAACAAAUAAAGACGUCCUACUAGGAAUCCAGAGGGGGCAGACAGGUGAUCAAAUGCUCAUUUUGAAUCAACAGUGUGCUACUAAUAAGCUCCAUGAUGAGGCCCCGUCCCUUUCACAUGGAUGCAUAGUGUGCGUUUCAUCUCAAUUAGACUGCGGUUAACCGCAAAGAGGCCCCUUCAUGGAUUAGAUGCAAGUUUAAAGAAUAGAUGCUUGAUGAUGCACUGAAUGCUUAACUUCCUUGUCAUUGGAAAGCUUGUUCCUGAGUGGUGGCUGCAUUAGUCCACUAGGGCUCGCAUGACACAGUGCCACCGCCUGGGGGCUUCAGUAAUAGACAUCGAUUGUCUCCCAGUGCUGGAGGCUGGACGUCCAAGAUCGAGGAGUCUGCAGCGUUGGUCUCUUCUGAGGCCUCACUCUUGCCUGACAGACGGCUGCCGUCUCACUGCAUCCUCACGUUUCUCCUGUGCACAGGCCCCUGGGGUCUCUAUGUAAUUCUUUUUUUUUUUUUUGAGACAGAUUCUCACUCUGUUGCCCAGGCUGGAGUGCAGUGGUAUGAUCUCAGCUCACUGCAACCUCCGCCUCCUGGGUUCAAGUGAAUCUCCUGUCUCAGCCUCCCGAGUAGCUGGGAUUACAGGUGCAUGCCACCAUGCCUGGCUAAUUUUUGUAUUUUUAGUAGAGUUGGGGUUUCACUAAGUUGGCCAGGUUGGUCUCCAACUCCUGAAUUCAAGGAUCCACCUGCCUUGACCUCCCAAAGUGCUGGGAUUACAGGCGUGAGCCACCGCACCUGGCCAUAAUCUCUUCUAAUAAAGAUACCAGUCAGGCCGGAUGCAGUGGCUCACACCUGUAAUCCCAGCACUUUGGGAGGCCGAGGUAGGCAGAUCACCUGAGGUCAGGAGUUUGAGACCAGCCUGACCAACCUGGUGAAACCCCGUCUCUACUACAAAUACAAAAAUUAGCCAGGCAUGGUGGUGGGCACCUGUAAUCCCAGCUACUCGGGAGGUUGAGAGAGGAGAAUCACUUGAACCCGGGAGGUGGAGGUUGCAGUGAGCUGAGAUCGCGCCACUGCACUUCAGCCUGGGCAACAAAAACCGAAACUCAAUCUCAGAAAAAAAAGACACCAGUCAGAUUGGAUCAAGGCCCACAUACCCUCACAGACUCAUUUUAAUGUAGUCACCUCUUUAAAGGCCUUACCUGCAAAUACAGUCACAUUGUGAGGAACUAGGGGUUAGGGCUUCAACACAUGAAGCUUUGAGGGACACAGUCCAGCCCACAAUAGUGGCUUCCCUCUUUUCUGGGUGAGAAGAACCUCAGACAAACAGGAAAUGUGACUUAGACCAUCCCAUUUCCCUGACUUUGUUUGCAUUUUCCCCUAUGUCCACCAGAGGGCAAACUUCUAAAGUGUUUAUUUGAAAAUUCGGUCCUUAGGACUUUUAUGAGCCUUGAUUUUUAACCCUUUAUAACCUAAGCAGUUUCACUAAAUAAACAAUUGUUGGAAAUAGAGAACAUUGUGCUGUUUAGUAACAUCACGUGGGUUUCUGCACACCCCUCCUUCAUUGGGUGAACACCAUGUGCCAGUCAUGCUUGACAUAGAUGAGCCCAGUGAACACACACAUGUCCCCUCAGAGGUGGGUGUCAUGAUGAAUUCUGGUUUAUGAGUGAGGAGCAGGCAUUCAGGCACCUGCGCCCAUGGUCACAGGUGAGUCUCGAUCUUCCCCUGGACUCAUUGCUUCGGCAUCUCUGCACCCACUGGUCAGCCACCUCGUGUGAUCUACCUGAUCCAAUGACAGCCUCCACAGGGCAGGAGCCAUGGUCUAGAAGGCUGUGAGUAUCUGCCAAAGCGCUGAUGAUGUACAUAACCCCACGGACUGACUUAGUGGUUUCUCUGCUCUCUGCCGGGAAGGUAUGUACUUUGUCUCUUGAAAAAUCAUCAGGGAACUAGGGACUUAGUGUCUUUGUUCCCACUCAUGGAAACGACUGUGCAGUUACAUCUAUGGAGAUUGCCGUCUCCUGGGAAAGCCACUGAAGUCUUUGUUUGUGUGACUUUCUUACUGUUUGGUGGACAAAAUGGAAGCAGCACUUAAAAUCUCAUGCUGGAGAUUCCAUCCCUCUAUUGUUUGGGAUACAGAGAGUCUGUGAAACACACACAUAUCAAGAGGAAAGCUGAGCUGAGCACCAGUCAGAAUUGAUGAUGGGCCAGAAAUCAGCAGGCUGAAGAGAAAACAAAUAUGGCUUCAAUGAAAAAAAGAAAACUGAGAAUCAGAUGCGAACGCACGGAAGCCAGCACAGCGCGCGGUACUGUGGCGGGUAAAGCGGGUGGGAAAUGGGUCACAGGCCUCAGGGUUCCUCGCUGUACGAUGGACACACUGCUAUUGCCAACCGAGUGGGCUAGUAGCUUGUGAGUAGUUUGAAAUAUUCAUACAGAAAUGUUCUUUCUGUCUUCUGUCAUCUGUUUUUUUUUUCCUCUUACUCUUUUCUGAAGCCCCUAAGAGCCUUCUACCUUGUUUGUGCCCCAAACGAGGAGUGUGCGGAAACCCGUGUGUGGUCACACAUCUUGUGCCACAGUGGGAGGGAGCAGAGGGUGUCACAGGAGGGGAGAAGCUCUCACUUCCAGCAUGAGUCUCACAAGCUCUGAGGGUUGAGCCAGGCUCUGGAAGGGCAGCACUUUUUGAAGACAGGGACCCCCAGGCCUCACCAGCACUUCAGAAGGAGCAGAGACAACAGUGUCCUCCUGCUUGAGGCAAGGUGUAAGGUCGGGGACCUGGGCUCUGCUGAGGCCUGCUAGGGACCCUCCACCACAGUGACCUCAGCCUGAGGAGGCUCCAGGAUCCCCUACUGCUGGCUUGUAAUGUAUCAACAUCUUAUUUGCAGUGACCUUCCAAGUAUGUCGCCUGCCUGGGUUAAUAGCCUUCAGAGCCUUCCUUUUCUACACUGUUUAAAAAUAUUUUAUUAGUUUACAUAGAAAGUUGCUGACUUUACUUAGUUUUCUAAUUCUUUAAGACCUCUGGCCUGUACUUGAUCCAUUUUUAACUGCCUUAAAUUCCUUCCUGUCGCUGUCUAGAAUUUUUCCCUUAACUUUCUGUCUUCUGUCUUUAAAAUUCUCCUCAUUCCUUUCAGUGUGACUUAUAAAUCAUUGCAGUUUCUUGCAGCUGACACCCUUUAUCAUCUACAUCUGAGUUUUUACCUACCUGAAUACAUUUAUUCAUAAAAACAAAUUUCUACCCUCUAAAAUCUUCUUACAUUUGGUUCUUCUUAAUGUCUUUUCUUGUUGCUGUUCCUUUUAGUUUCUUAGUUGGGUUAAUAUCUGCUUUCUCUUUUUGCUCUGGCUUGUAAGACACAGGCAACAUGUGCGUGUCCAGGGUGAGAGGAUGGGGAGGGAGUGCAGGCUGGGAGUGAGGUCCAGGGCAGGGAUCUCUAACCGCAGCCAGCUGCACUCUGGCUCCGCAU
ensembl:lncRNA